UACGGAGGGAGCUAGCGUUAUUCGGAAUUACUGGGCGUAAAGCGCACGUAGGCGGCUUUGUAAGUAAGAGGUGAAAGCCUGAAGCUCAACUCCAGAACUGCCUUUUAGACUGCAUCGCUUGAAUCCAGGAGAGGUGAGUGGAAUUCCGAGUGUAGAGGUGAAAUUCGUAGAUAUUCGGAAGAACACCAGUGGCGAAGGCGGCUCACUGGACUGGUAUUGACGCUGAGGUGCGAAAGCGUGGGGAGCAAACAGG
rnacentral:rRNA from 1 species